rnacentral:rRNA from 1 species
GAGCAUUUUCAAUGNCAGUCGAAACGGUACGCGGAGAGAACUUGCUUCUCUCCGGCGACGAGUGGCGAACGGGUGAGUAAUACAUCGGAACGUGUCCGCUCGUGGGGGACAACCAGCCGAAAGGUUGGCUAAUACCGCAUGAGUUCUACGGAAGAAAGAGGGGGACCCGCAAGGGCCUCUCGCGAGCGGAGCGGCCGAUGACUGAUUAGCCGGUUGGUGAGGUAACGGCUCACCAAAGCAACGAUCAGUAGCUGGUCUGAGAGGACGACCAGCCACACUGGGACUGAGACACGGCCCAGACUCCUACGGGAGGCAGCAGUGGGGAAUUUUGGACAAUGGGCGCAAGCCUGAUCCAGCUAUUCCGCGUGUGGGAUGAAGGCCCUCGGGUUGUAAACCACUUUUGUAGAGAACGAAAAGACACCUUCGAAUAAAGGGUGUUGCUGACGGUACUCUAAGAAUAAGCACCGGCUAACUACGUGCCAGCAGCCGCGGUAAUACGUAGGGUGCGAGCGUUAAUCGGAAUUACUGGGUGUAAAGGGUGCGCAGGCGGUUGAGUAAGACAGAUGUGAAAUCCCCGAGCUUAACUCGGGAAUGGCAUAUGUGACUGCUCGACUAGAGUGUGUCAGAGGGAGGUGGAAUUCCACGUGUAGCAGUGAAAUGCGUAGAUAUGUGGAAGAACACCGAUGGCGAAGGCAGCCUCCUGGGACAUAACUGACGCUCAGGCACGAAAGCGUGGGGAGCAAACAGGAU